GUUAUUUUUUAGGAACCAAAAUCUGUCCACCACAGUUCGUGGACAACACCAUCAAUGGCCCUAAUCCUGGUGAGUCACGUCAACUCAACCUUGGCUACUCCCUGUGCAUCCGUACAAAUCAAGCCAUCAUGAUCUAGCUCAUGAACUCCAUUUCCGAGACCAUGUUUGGUCAUAUUGUUUGGUGCACCACCUCCUUUGUUGUUUGGCACACUCUAGAGCUCUUGUUCACCACUCAUUCCAAGGCUAGAACCCUCCAACUUCGUUUCCAACUUCAAGUUCUCAAAAAGGGUGUUUAAGUUUCUUGAAACUUAAGGUUUUCGGAUUUUUCCAUCCCAUUCUUGUCUCCAAUAUCCAGGUUUUUGAUGAUGCAGGAAAAUAAGCUUGGAUGGCGGGACGAAUUCAUGGCAAUUUUGGCAUGUGUAUUGGGAGAGGACUGAAUGGAUGGACUGCUGGAAAAAAUCGAGAAUGAAGUUUAUAUUUUUGAGUCUUUUUAAUUUAUGUAUUUAUAUUUUGGCAUUUAGUAUUUGAACAAUUAAUUAAAGGUUUAUGUUUCUUUAUGUUUUUUAUGUAAUAACAAUGGGAUCCCGUAUUUUGGAUUUUUAUAAUAAAGUUCUAUUAUCCUA